UUUUUUUUUUUAAUUGUUGGCUUUAAGUUAAUUUGUCUGUCAGACUCAGUUUGUUCGUGUUGUAGCCUGUUAACAGUAGACCAAAGGUAUGAUGAUCAAUUAUAAAUGCAAUAUGGUUGAAAGGUCAGUAAACAAACAACAAAAAGCUUGACAAAAAUGUAGCUUGAAGGAGAAGGGACAGCUGAGUAACAAAGUCCUGGUAUGCAGACGACGAUACUAUUACACUGACAAGAGUGUAAUGAUGAUGGAGACACAAGCCAGAGAAAGGGGGGACCAAACACCAGGCCAGAAUUCUGCAUGAGUCAGAUCCAGUGGGUGCAGAUCAUCAUACAGAUGGUUCAAGUGUGGAUCCACCUAAUAUUCAAGAUUUUCUGUCCUGGGACACUUGGCUAACCAUCAAGAAAGAACACACUCCAGUGGGCAUCCUUUAUCCAUCCAGACCCUCAUACAGAUGGUUGGAGUUUUGAUUAAUCUAAAGUACCAUGCAAGAGCACUCAUUUUCCCUCUUGAGACCAUGGUGUGACCUGCAAGGUCGAAUGGAGACUGUAAACGAGACAAUCUUGGAGUCACCUGCAUUCACUGGUCCAGUUGUUAGUCCAAUUACAGAUGGAGAUUAUAGAAGAGGAUGAUGUCUUUUCUCCAACAUCUUUCUAGACUGAUAAAAGAUCUAGACAGGCUUGAAC